AACGAACGCUGGCGGCACGCCUCAUACAUGCAAGUCGAGCGCGAAACCACCUUCGGGUGAUGUAGAGUGGCGAACGGGUGAGUAACAGGUGGAUAAUCUGCCCUUUGGCGGGGGACAACAGCUGGAAACGGCUGCUAAUACCGCAUGUGGUUGUAUGCUCAUGGUGUACAAAGAAAGACGCCUCAAAGCGUCACCAAAGGAUGAGUCCGCCCCCCAUUAGCUAGUUGGUGAGAUAACAGCUCACCAAGGCAUCGAUGGGUAGCCGAGCUGAGAGGUUGAUCGGCCACACUGGAACUGAGACACGGUCCAGACACCUACGGGUGGCAGCAGUAGGGAAUUUUGGACAAUGGGGGCAAACCCUGAUCCAGCCAUGCCGCGUGAGUGAAGAAGGCCUUGGUUGUAAGACUCUUUCAGAGGAAGAAAACGACAUCGGUGAAUACCCGGUGUGGAUGACGGUACCGUAAGAAGAAGACACCGGCUAACUAACGUGCC
rnacentral:rRNA from 1 species